AAACGUUUUUUCGAAGCUAGAAAUCAUGAUUUUUUUCAAAUUUUUCCAGGGAUACUUUGUUUUCAGCUCUCUAGACUCCCACUCGCUGCUCUAGUCCUCCACCCCUAGAAUAUAGACCCCCCCCAGGAAAAGUCCCUUUUCCUUAAAAUUAUACAAACAAACCAGCGAAGAUUAACAAAUACAUAAACGGAAAGUAAGUUUUAGGCUUCAUCCCUUGUCCUUGUUUAACAAAAUCGAUUUAAAUUGUUACUUUUUUCUAAAUUAUUGUUAAUAAUUUUUUUUAUUUUUUGGAUGCUCAGAAUGCAGGAAAUAGCAUUUCCGGGUUUCAAAUUUCAAAAAUUUUCUGGGGAUUAUCCCUCUAAUAAGCCGAUAAAUUACAGUUAAUAUUCUUUUUUACUUUUUGCGCAUUUUUUCCAUCUUUUACUUCAAAUACAAGUAUAGUUAGCAUAAAUUUUAGAGCAAAUUUGGAUGCUCA